AAUAUCUGUUUUCUCAGGCCCUUUCGAAGCUGUGAUCUUCUCCCAUUCCAGUGAUGUUAAAAUAUUGAAAAUUUUGUAGACUUUUCCCUUCACAAAUCUUGCAGCAGAAAAUUUUCUCUUCUUUUAAUUAGCUCAAUGCAAGAAGCCACAUUUAAGACUGCGCAUCUCAAUGCCUGAAGUAAAAACCACGGUCACAAGGGAUGUGUGUGGAAUGGAAGAACACUGGAAAAACAAGAACCUGACCUAAAUGGAUGGCCAAAUACCGCAGCUGCACAUGCAGGCUUGUAUCCACGCCAGAUAGACACAGAGCUGGAAGAAGAUGGGGUGUGAUUGGAACUGCUCGGCAUUGGUUACAGGUAAGUGAGGAUCAAAUCCUGUCUACUUAUAGCCCUCUGUCCAGCUGGUGUGUCACCAAAUAAAAAUCAGCCAGAGGUAAGAG
rnacentral:lncRNA from 1 species